UACGGAGGGUGCAAGCGUUGUCCGGAUUUAUUGGGUUUAAAGGGUGCGUAGGCGGUCUUUUAAGUCAGUGGUGAAAUCCUCCAGCUCAACUGGAGAACUGCCAUUGAUACUGGAAGACUUGAGUAUAGUUGAGGUGGGCGGAAUUGACAGUGUAGCGGUGAAAUGCAUAGAUAUUGUCAAGAACACCGAUUGCGAAGGCAGCUUACUAAACUAUAACUGACGCUGAGGCACGAAAGUGCGGGGAUCAAACAGG
rnacentral:rRNA from 1 species